GUGAAUCAUCGAAUUUUUGAACGCAAAUUGCGCUCUCUUCGAAGAGUAUGCCCAUUUUAGUUUCAGCCUAAAAAAAAUCGACAUAAUUUCUUUUUCGCGGUGACAUUCGUCGGUAAUUUGGUCAUCUUCAACCAUUGGUUUUUAAGCGACUUAAAAUUUGCUUUACGAUUCCACGAAGGUGUCUAAGAUUUUACUUCGUACACGUUUAAGGUAUCGAUCUUUAUUAGACGGGGCCGUACCAUCGGAUCACCUCCAUAAAUAUUUCGUUGACUGAC
rnacentral:misc_RNA from 1 species